UCUCUGGUGGUUCCGUGGCUAAGACUCUGCAUUCCCAACGCAGGGGGCCUGGGUUCAACCCCAGUCAGGGAA
rnacentral:tRNA from 1 species